AAAAUAACAACAACCAUGAAUAGAGACAGU
rnacentral:guide_RNA from 1 species